GCGACGAUCAGUAGCCGACCUGAGAGGGUGACCGGCCACAUUGGGACUGAGACACGGCCCAAACUCCUACGGGAGGCAGCAGUGGGGAAUUUUCGGCAAUGGGCGAAAGCCUGACCGAGCAACGCCGCGUGAACGAUGAAGGCCUUCGGGUCGUAAAGCUCUGUCCUCAAGGAAGAUAAUGACGGUACUUGAGGAGGAAGCCCCGGCUAACUAC
rnacentral:rRNA from 1 species